CUACGGGUUGCACCAGUGGGGAAUAUUACACAAUGGGCGAAAGCCUGAUGCAGCGACGCCGCGUGAGCGAAGAAGGUUUUCGGAUCGUAAAGCUCUGUCCUAUGGGAAGAAAAUGACGGUACCAUAGGAGGAAGCCCCGGCUAACUACGUGCCAGCAGCCGCGGUAAUACGUAGGGGGCGAGCGUUGUCCGGAUUUACUGGGCGUAAAGGGUGAGUAGGCGGUAACGUGUGUCAGAUGUGAAAGGCGAGGGCUAAACCCUCGUAAGCAUUUGAAACUGCGUAACUUGAGUGCAGGAGAGGUAAGCGGAAUUCCUAGUGUAGCGGUGAAAUGCGUAGAUAUUAGGAGGAACACCGGUGGCGAAGGCGGCUUACUGGACUGUAACUGACGCUGAGACACGAAAGCGUGGGGAGCAAACAGGAUUAGAUACCCCGGUAGUC
rnacentral:rRNA from 1 species